rnacentral:rRNA from 1 species
GACGAACGCUGGCGGCGUGCUUAACACAUGCAAGUCGAACGAAGUGGCGAACGGGUGAGUAACGCGUAAUCAACCUGCCCUUCAGAGGGGGACACCAGUUGGAAACGACUGCUAAUACCGCAUACUGAAGGAGGGGAUUGCGUCUGAUUAGCUAGUUGGAGGGGUAACGGCCCACCAAGGAGACGAGCAGUAGCCGGUCUGAGAGGAUUGACGGCCACAUGGGGACUGAGAACAGGCCCAGACUCCUACGGGAUGCAGCAGUGGGGAAUCUUCCGCAAUUGACGAAAGUCUGACGGAGCAACGCCGCGUGAGAGAUGACGGCCUUCGGGUUGUAAAGCUUUGUUAAUCGGGACGCGGUACCGGAAUAGAAAGCAACGGCUAACUACGUGCCAGCAGCCGCGGUAAUAC